GGUACAAAUGUUUGUCGAUAACCGACAAAAAAGUGAUCGCGGUAGUUGAAGCAGGUGAAAAAAAAAGAUGAUGCUCUACGUUUUGGUAUUCCAGUUUCUACGCUUUCAACGAUACUUAAACAAAAGGACCAUCUUAAACAUUAUAACACCUUACACAUCGAGGACGAGACAGAAAAAAUGUUAUAUAUACGUAGAUUGGUCAAAAUGUGAAACGACUCCAGUGUGAUACACAGCAUUUAACGUGUUUUUGACGAGUAUGGUUGAAAUGGAUACACUAUUAAAAACAAAAAGAGUACGCUAAAACCAGAAAAUGUUUCAAGAAAACAUAGUACAGUAAUGUGAUCAAACUCCUAAGUAAC